AGGCUACGAUCAGUAGGGGUUCUGAGAGGAAGGUCCCCCACAUUGGAACUGAGACACGGUCCAAACUCCUACGGGAGGCAGCAGUGAGGAAUAUUGGUCAAUGGACGAGAGUCUGAGCCAGCCAAGUAGCGUGCAGGAUGACGGCCCUAUGGGUUGUAAACUGCUUUUAUAAGGGAAUAAAGUGAGUCUCGUGAGACUUUUUGCAUGUACCUUAUGAAUAAGGACCGGCUAAUUCCGUGCCAGCAGCCGCGGUAAUACGGAAGGUCCGGGCGUUAUCCGGAUUUAUUGGGUUUAAAGGGAGCGUAGGCCGGAGAUUAAGCGUGUUGUGAAAUGUAGAUGCUCAACAUCCGCACUGCAGCGCGAACUGGUUUCCUUGAGUACGCACAAAGUGGGCGGAAUUCGUGGUGUAGCGGUGAAAUGCUUAGAUAUCACGAAGAACUCCGAUUGCGAAGGCAGCUCACUGGAGCGCAACUGACGCUGAAGCUCGAAAGUGCGGGUAUCGAACAGGAUUAGAUACCCUGGUAGUCCGCACGGUAAACGAUGGAUGCCCGCUGUUGGUCUGAA
rnacentral:rRNA from 1 species